rnacentral:tRNA from 1 species
GGUAGUAUGGCCGAUUAGGCGGUAAUCUGUAAAAUUACUUAUAGGAUAUUCCUUGCUGCCA